AACUUUUUAUUAUAUUUAAGUAUUUUUAAUUUCCAAUUAAAAGGUUUAAAAGUUA
rnacentral:tRNA from 1 species